UACUGCCACUGUCAUCCGCUGCAG
rnacentral:siRNA from 1 species